rnacentral:rRNA from 1 species
GCUUACCUACGGGGCGCAGCAGUGGGGAAUAUUGCACAAUGGGGGAAACCCUGAUGCAGCGACGCCGCGUGAGUGAAGAAGUAUUUCGGUAUGUAAAGCUCUAUCAGCAGGGAAGAAAAAAAGUCCUUUGGACUUUGGACGGUACCUGACUAAGAAGCCCCGGCUAACUACGUGCCAGCAGCCGCGGUAAUACGUAGGGGGCAAGCGUUAUCCGGAUUUACUGGGUGUAAAGGGAGCGUAGACGGCAGCGCAAGUCUGAAGUGAAAUCCCAUG